UAACACGUGGAUCAUACACCUUUUAGUGGGGAAUAACUUUGGGAAACCGAAGCUAAUACCGCAUAAUCCCGAGAGGGGAAAGCAGCAAUGCGCUGAUAGAGUAGUCCGCGGCUGAUUAGCUAGUUGGUGAGGUAAUGGCUCACCAAGGCUGUGAUCGGUAGCCGGCCUGAGAGGGCUCACGGCCACACUGGCACUGAAACACGGGCCAGACUCCUACGGGAGGCAGCAGUGGGGAAUCUUGCACAAUGGGGGAAACCCUGAUGCAGCGACGCCGCGUGAGUGAUGAAGCCCUUCGGGGUGUAAAGCUCUUUCGACGGGAACGAUAAUGACGGUACCCGGAGAAGAAGCUGCGGCUAACUACGUGCCAGCAGCCGCGGUAAUACGUAGGCAGCAAGCGUUGUUCGGAAUUACUGGGCGUAAAGCGAGUGUAGGCGGUGCUAUAAGUUUGGUGUGAAAUCUCCCGGCUCAACUGGGAGGGUGCGCCGAAGACUGUAGUGCUAGAGUGUGGGAGAGGUAGGCGGAAUUCCUGGUGUAGCGGUGAAAUGCGUAGAUAUCAGGAGGAACACCUGCGGUGUAGACGGCUUACUGGACCACGACUGACGCUGAAACUCGAAAGUGUGGGGAGCAAACAGGAUUAGAUACCCUGGUAGUCCACACCCUAAACGAUGCAUACUUGGUGCGAGCGAUUCAUUUCGUUCGUGCCGGAGCUAACGCGUUAAGUAUGCC
rnacentral:rRNA from 1 species